CGUAGGGGGCGAGCGUUGUCCGGAUUCAUUGGGCGUAAAGAGCUCGUAGGCGGUUCAGUAAGUCGGGUGUGAAAGCUCCGAGCUCAACUCGGAGAAGCCACCCGAUACUGCUGUGACUUGAGUCCAGUAGAGGAGCGUGGAACUCCUGGUGUAGCGGUGGAAUGCGCAGAUAUCAGGAAGAACACCUGCAGCGAAGGCGGCGCUCUGGGCUGGAACUGACGCUGAGGAGCGAAAGCGUGGGUAGCAA
rnacentral:rRNA from 1 species